GAAGCUACCAAAUUCUCACCAAAAAGCUUCUCUUUGCCGAAACCAUAACCCCACAACCAUCUCCAUCAAAUUCUCACCAAAGCUUGGAGUUUUUGGAAGCAAAAGACUCUAAAAUCAAAGGAGAUCAAGACUCGACGAGGCGAUUAUCAAGGGGACGCGGAACGUUAAGAACGCGACAUCGCUUUGCUAGGGCCGAAGUCUUUGGAUAGCAAUUUUGUUAUGUUUCAGGUGUAUAGUAUCAGAUGUAACGGACUUCUAUCCUUGUUCCAGAAGUCCGCGAGUACAGAAAGAAUGAACCAAUCAGUAGUGCUGCAGUAGUCGAGUCCUAGAGUGUAAUUAUGUUUUGUCAAACGGUUUUAAAUAUUUUGUUUAUACUCUGAUAUGUAUAAAGGCUUUAGACUGUGCUUUUAAACCGUUUAUAUAUACGUGAGAAA